rnacentral:lncRNA from 1 species
AUCAUGGCUCCCCCAUUUAAGAUGCUUGAGCUCCUAGUCAAGCUAAAUUGUGAGAUAAGGAAACUCUAUUAUUGCCUUGUCUUGAAUAUACCACUUCGACUUGCUAGGAAAUUGACCUUUUCUUCCAAUACAGAAAUACUCAUACUUUCCAUGUCGAUUGUAACAUCCCACAUUAACCAACGGAGAGGGGGAGAUGUGCCUUAUAUGUACAUGCCCGCCUUCAUCUAGCACGAGGCCUUUUGGGAGCUCACUGGCUUCGGAGUCAUAGGAACUCCGAAGUUAAGCGAGUUGGAGCUAGAGCAAUCCCAGGAUGGGUGACCCACUAGGAAGUUGCUCGUGAGCUCCCAGAAACAAAACCGUGAGGGCAGAGAGGGGGGCUCAAAACUAACAAUAUUGUGCUACGGGGGAGCCGAUCCCGGGAUGUGACAAUUUGGUAUCAGAGCCACUCUGCCUUGUGGUGCGAGUGUGCCGACGAGGACGUCGGGCCCUUAAGGGGGGUGGAUUGUAACAUCCCACAUCAACCAACGGAGAGGGAGUGAUGUGCCUUAGAGCAACUCCACCCAUUUGCCCUUAGCCAUGGCAAGGAGGGAGCUAGGGCAGCCACUAUUCAAGUGAAUAGUGGUUGCCCUUGCAAAUAGUAUUUUGUGUUUCCACCCAUUGCCAUGGCUAAGGGCAAUUACUAUUCAUUUUUUUGUUUUUUUUCACACAUUUUUAAUGAAAAUAAUUAAUUUGGAUAAUAUUUUCAGAUAAGAUUUCCAGGUUCCUACGUGUCAAGACUAUUCAUAAUCGGAUAAAAUUUCCGGAUAAGAUUUUUGGAUUCAAAUUUUGGAUGAAUUUCAAAAUUCAAAUUUCAGAUAAAUUUUUGGGUUC